AAAAAUUAAUAUUUGACUUACCCAAAUUUUUCCUUGUCGUGACCCUCUCCUAUCCCUCCUUCCCAUGGCCACUCAAGCUUUAUCCUCUUCCACCACUACCAGACCUUUCUCUCCAGUUCUAAAGUUGCCCACUUUCUGAAACUCACCAAAACUAAUUACCUAUUUUGGCUUAGUCAGAUGAAGCCGUUUCUUCUAGGUCAUCAUUUAUUUGGCUACAUGGAUGGCACCCUUCCUAUUCUUGACAAGGAGCCUGCUAAACCGAAUCCGGCUUUCGCUACGUUGCUUCAGACGGAUCGAUUGGUUGUCAGUUGUUUGACUUCCACCAUUUCCAGACCUAUUUUGUCACUCAUUGUUGGUAAAACCUCAACUCAAGUAAUCUGGGAGUGUCUGUGGUGUCAACCUCUAGGACUUUCCAAAGGCUCCCGUUUCAACAAGCUAAGUUUAUUAAUGAUUCUCUUGCUGCAAUUAAUCAACCUGUCUCUAGUAAUGAUUUGGUGACCUCUGUACUUAAAGGUCUUGGGGUUCAAUGUUUAUCACUGUUAUUCUCAAUUUUCCUCCCUUGCCAGAAUUUCCUGACCUUUGCUCCCGUUUCCUGACCUUUGAGGCCCAAAUGAGGACUAGACAGUAGCUCAUGCUCUCCUUACUGUCAUCUUUUGUGCUGCUACUCCUUCUCAACAACCCUUGCAGCCCGUGGCCCAACCUUUGCAGCCUAAUGGCCCGCAGCACCCUACUACCUUCUAGGCCCAGCAACCUCGCAAUAGGAAUCCUGGUCAUGGUGGCUACAACGAGCGCCUACGCGGCGGCUGGGGACAUUGUGGUCACGGUCCUCGCAAUGGUUGGUAGCCCAACCAAUAGGGUUUAACCUAAUAAUCAACAAGGAGCCACUCACCGCAUGAGAAAUAAUGAAGCUGCACUCCAAGACCCAUCUCCUUUUACUGGGUCAUUGUGAGGUUCAUCUCUAUCCCAUGUCAUCGUCUCAUACGUAAGCCUUCCAUGUUGCCUUGUUCUCCUUAUCGCACUCUCGUCUUGGUCAUCCGUCUUCCAAAGUUUUAUCUAAAUUGUUUUUAGGUUCUAUGUCUCAAUUAAAUAAGGUAUUUUGUAAGCCUUGUGCAUUUAAGUCGCACAUAUAACCUUUUAAUUCCAAUAAAAUUAUUGCUCCUUUUUCGUUUUAUUCAA